ACGGUAACGUAGUUCAGGCUCAAAGUUCAUGAUAACUAUGAAAGCUCAUAUUGUUCUUGAUCAUUAUAUCAAGUUUGCUUUGGUUUGUAUACGGAGGGGCUUAUACACGGAGGACCUUAUUUUCGGAAUUUUACGGAUACCAUCAAUUCUCUCAUUAUUUUACCCGAAAUUACGCCCCUUGUGUGACGUGAUAGGCCCACUGCAGUUACACACAGUAGGCUGAUAACAACAGGCGAUGAGGGUGAAGGCGGGUAGGGAAGCCACACCAAAGGUGGUCCAGUUGCCAGGGCAACCACUGCCGUUGAUGCGUG